CAAAAACUGUUAGUUAUAAAGAAGUCAUUUCAGUACUGCUGGAAGCAAGCUCAAACUGAAGCAAGCUCAAACUAGAAUGGUUGGGGAUAUAAAAUAUGCUUCUGUGUCAGAUACACUCACAUUCUACUCCUAAACUGGAAAAAGAAAAGCCGAGAGAAUGUGGCUAUGAAAACAAAGGCGCAGUUUUCCUUUCACACCUCCAUUUACAAAGAACAAGGACUACUGGCAGUUGUACUUCUGAAGAGGAGACAGUGAAAGGUACACAGCAGAGUUCAGAAGAAGUUCCAUCCUGG